rnacentral:lncRNA from 1 species
UUUCUCAUUGACCUCUUACAAUUACUCUGAGGCCCUAUGGCUGGCUGCAUUUUACAGAUGAGGAAACGAAGGCUUGGCAAGGUUAGAUUUACCCAAGUUCUCUCAACUGUUAAGCGGCAGAGUCAUGAUUCAAACCCAGGUGGCCCAUGUCCAGAUCUCUUGUUCUCAAUCAGGUUGAAUUAACAGGGUAUGGUGAUGGGUGACAUUGUUGGGGGAGAAAGGGGAAGGAAGAAUUCACAUGCCCCCCUCCUUUUUUUUUUUAUUCAACUCAGUGUCAUAUAGUGUCCUGGUGGGUGGUGGAGAAAUACAAUGAAAACAAAAAACAAAAAACAAACCACCCACUCUACCCCUUAGAACUUCAGACAAGGAGGAAGAUUUAGCAAAGCAUGAAGCAUGCUGACUUGGGUAUGGGGAAACAAGUCUUCCUGAAGUGGUCUCUUUUUAAGCCAAGACUUAAGGGACCAUUAAACAUGGGAAGAGGGCAGGAGAAAUGGCGUGUGCAAAGACCAGGAGCUGAGGUAGAGCAUGGAGAUUCAAAGACACGGUGGACUGAAGGGGCAUGGGUCUGGGAGAUGAGAGCCUGGAUGUCAGCAGAGGGCAGUCACUCGAGGUCUUGACUCUGAGGCUUCUAGAUUGGGACUGGGACAAGGGAGGGGAGAGAAUUUGAGGAAAUCCUGGGGGAACAGUGGUCUGCUGGCUGGAGCUAGGAACAUGGGUGAGGGCAAAGGAAGUGGUGGUAAUGAGCUUGGUUUUGGUCUCCCGAGUGCUGAGAGGGGGGUCACCGUUAAGGUCUUUUCCACUGCUGACCUUCUCAACUUCCCUGGAAGGAAGGAACAUCUCCCUGCGGCCCCUCCACCCCCAAAUAUUCUGGGCAGGAAGGAGCGGGAUCUGUUUUGUCAACGCAGCUUGCAAUAAAGAGUCUCAUUCAGGGAGGCAAACAGCUGCUUGACUAUUAAUAGGCAGGGCCUCAGCCGCAGCCUGCUGGGAGGGCUCGGCAUGCAGUUCUGGAAAGGUGAAUCUCUUCCAUCUGCCUGUCUGGAGUUUGCACCCCAUGGUGGAACAAUAGGCCGGGUGCUCAUUUCUCGGAAGGGGAAACAGCUCGAUUCCCUGGAGAAGCUUCAGGCCCUUGGCUCACUUGGCAGCCCGGGAAAGCCCCACCAUGGGGGUGCAGAUUGGGUGGACUCUGCCCUUCUGAAAGGCAUGAGGGAAAGGUGGCACAGAGGACUUGGGUGCCAGCACCCUGGCUUAGAGCCCCUGCUCAACCACCUACUAAGGUAAGGCCAAUGUUGCAGGCCUUCGUCUGUACAAUGGGACUGCCAAGAGAGCCCUUGUGAAAUGCAGUGAGAUGGUGCUUGGACAGGGUGCAGGGGAGCACUUCUCCUUUUCCUCUUCUUUUUAAACAUUUUUACUUAUUUAUUCAAUUUUUUGUCUGUUUGUUUGUUUUGGCUAUGCUGGAUUUUCACUGCUGCUUGGGCUUUUCUUUGGUUGUGGCGAGCAGGCACUACUCCCUAAUUGUGGUGCAUGGGCUUCUCAAUGCAGUGGCUUCUCUUGUUCAGAGCAUGGCUCCAGGGUGCUUGGGUUUCAGUAGUUGCAGCUCCUGGGCUCUAGAGCACAAGCACAGUAGUUGUGGCCCACAGACUUAGUUGCUCCCUGGCAUCUUCCCGGAUCAGGGAUCGAACCUGUGUCUCCUGCAUUGGCAGGCAGAUUCUUUACCACCGAGCUACCAGGGCAGCUCUUCUCUUCCUCUUCCCAUCUGUCUCCUUCUUUUCCUUUUCCAUCUUUGUCUUCUUCUUCCUCAGUGGAGUCUGCAUGCAAUGGCCUCCUCAUAUAUCCUUCAACAUAACCUGGGGCCAGUCAGGUCUGGACUCUGGGAAGAAACGUGGGCCUGCACCUGAGAUUCAGCGGAAGGGAAGAGAAGAGUAAGGAGUAAGGAUCACCCAUCCCCUGAGUGACCAUGCAGGUCUCAAGUCACUUUCUCUGAGAAGCUUUUCUCUGACUCCUCUCUGCCCCGAGCCUGACCUCAGUCCACUGUGGCAUGGUGCUCGUUCUCUGCUAUCGCACUGACUGCAAGCCGAGUUUAUUGUUUGGCUCUUCCUCUCAACAUGUAAGAUCUGGGAGUGGACGCCCUGGAGCAUUAAGUUC